CCUACGGGAGGCAGCAGUGGGGGAUAUUGCACAAUGGGGGAAACCCUGAUGCAGCGACGCCGCGUGUGGGAAGACGGUCCUCUGGAUUGUAAACCACUUUCCCCAGGGACUAAAAUGACUGUCCUUGGGGAGGAAGCUCCGGCUAACUACGUGCCAGCAGCCGCGGUAAUACGUAGGGAGCGCGCGUUGUCCGGAAUUACUGGGUGAAAGGGGAGCGUAGGCGGGGAUGCAAGUUGGGUGGCACAAUUACCGGCUCAACUGGUAGUCGCACAGAAAACUGGAGCUCUUGAGUGAAGUAGAGGCAGGCGGAAUUCCUAGUGUAGCGGUGAAAUGCGUAGAUAUUAGGAGGAACACCAGUGGCGAAGGCGGCCUGCUGGGCUUUUACUGACGCUGAGGCUCGAAAGUGUGGGGAGCAAACAGGAUUAGAUACCCGUGUAGUC
rnacentral:rRNA from 1 species